AUUUAAGCUAGACAUGCAUCAACUCUGCUGAUAUCUACAUGGUAGCAACGUUUUUGGUCAGACUUAUUUUGUAUGUGUAACUUAGCUAGCUAAAUACAUCAAGGACACACAUAUAGAUACGUUCACACGUUAUCCAUGAAGCCACAGUUCGAUUCUGUUGAGCCUAGGAGGAAGAAGAGUUGGGAGCGUAUCAAACUAAACUGAAGAGUAAACCUUUCAACAUGAUGAUUUGACCCCGAAAGAGAGCCAACCGCAGCAUCCAGCAGCUCAGAUGCAGAAGGCAGCACGACUGGAGAGGACUCAUGAACCGAAGGCAACAGAGUGAAGCUGAGUUGUCAAGAUAAUGUGAGCAUGCCUGCCGUUCAAGACCUGGUCCACAUUCUGCACAACCAGUCAGUACAUCAAGCACCUGGAGGCUGAGGUCAAGUUCAGUAAGGUCUGUCUGAUGAGCCCACCUCAGAGUCUCGUUACCACUGAGUCUCAUGAAAGUUCUUCUUACGCAAUUUGGUCACCAAUGGAUAUUCAUGUCAUGUAAUGAAUUACAGUGGUAGAUUUUCAUCUUGUUGGAUGUUUAUAAUCCAUGAAGUUUCUACUGUUGUCUAUUGUCCUAAGAAAGCACAGUUGUUUGUAGGUCUGUGUAUUUCUUGUUGUUUGUGACUGUAUCUGUUGUUUGUGACUGUAUCUGUUUGUGACUGUGUACAGUGCAUUCAUUUUGUUACGUUACAGCCUUAUUAUAACAUUGAUUUAAUUGUUUUUUCCCCCUCACGAAUCUACACACAAUACCCCAUAAUGACAAAGCAAAAACAGGUUUUUAGACAUUUUUGCAAAUAAAAAAAUAAAUAAUAAAAAAUGGAAAUAUUACAUUUACAUAAGUAUUCAGACCCUUUACUCAGUACUUUGUUGAAGCACCUUUGGCAGCGUUUACAGCCUCAAGUCUUCUUUUGUAUGACGCUACAAGCUUGGCACACCUGUAUUUGGGGAGUUUCUCCCAUUCUUCUCUGCAUAUCCUUUCAAGCUCUGCCAGGUUGAAUGGGGAGCGUCGCUGCACAGCUAUUUUCAGAUCUCUCCAGAGAUAUUUGAUCGAUCGGGUUCAAGUCCGGGCUCUGGCUGAGCCACUCAAUGACAUUCAGAGACUUGUCCCGAAGCCACUCCUGCGUUGUCUUGGCUGUGUACUUAGGGUCAUUGUCCUGUUGGAAGGUGAACCUUCGCCAGAGGAAAUCUUCAACAGAGAAAUGCUGGAGUUCUGUCAGAGUAACCAUUGGGUUCUUGGUCACCUCCCUGACCAAGGCCCU